ACCCAGACUCCUACGGGAGGCAGCAGUGGGGAAUAUUGCACAAUGGGGGAAACCCUGAUGCAGCGACGCCGCGUGAGUGAAGAAGUAAUUCGUUAUGUAAAGCUCUAUCAGCAGGGAAGAAAAUGACGGUACCUGACUAAGAAGCCCCGGCUAACUACGUGCCAGCAGCCGCGGUAAUACGUAGGGGGCAAGCGUUAUCCGGAUUUACUGGGCGUAAAGGGAGCGUAGACGGCAGUGCAAGUCCGGAGUGAAAGCCCGGGGCUCAACCCUGGGACUGCUCUGGAAACUGUAAAGCUGGAGUGCGGGAGGGGCAGGCGGAAUUCCUGGUGUAGCGGUGAAAUGCGUAGAUAUCAGGAGGAACACCGGCGGCGAAGGCGGCCUGCUGGACCGUAACUGACGUUGAGGCUCGAAAGCGUGGGGAGCAAACAGGAUUAGAUACCCGGGUACAG
rnacentral:rRNA from 1 species